rnacentral:rRNA from 1 species
CCCUUAGAUGUUCUGGGCCGCACGCGCGCUACACUGAAGCACUCAACGAGUCCACCUCGACCGACAGGUCUGGGAAACCUUUUGAAAUUGCUUCGUGAUGGGGAUAGAUUAUUGCAACUAUUAAUCUUAAACGAGGAAUUCCUAGUAAACGCAAGUCAUCAGCUUGCAUUGAUUACGUCCCUGCCCUUUGUACACACCGCCCGUCGACUCUACCGAUUGAAUGGUUCGGUGAAAACUUUGGACUGUGGCAUUGUCCUUCAUUGGACUUCGCCGUAGGAAAUUGUUUAAACCUCAUCAUUUAGAGGAAGAAUAAGUCGUAACA